rnacentral:misc_RNA from 1 species
AAGUCGUAACAAGGUUUCCGUAGGUGAACCUGCGGAAGGAUCAUUAACACGUAUCCAGUGUCGGAAAGGGUCAUUGAUUGUGCAAGGAUAGCGCUUCUACGAUUCCUGUAGACCGUACACUCGGGCAGGAGCUUUGCCAAAGGGUCCCCAUGCCUCCUAAUAAUGUGAAGCUCAAUGUAAUACAUUGGGAAAAAAAACCGAACAACUGUUAACAAUGGAUAUCUUGGUUCUC